UACGGAGGGUGCAAGCGUUGCUCGGAAUUAUUGGGCGUAAAGGGUAGGUAGGUUGUCUCGUUUGUCUGGGGUGAAAUCCUUGAGCUUAACUCAAGAACUGCCUUAGAAACGGCGAGACUAGAGUGCUGGAGAGGGUCGCGGAAUUCCCGGUGUAGCGGUGAAAUGCGUAGAGAUCGGGAGGAACACCUGAAGCGAAGGCGGCGGCCUGGACAGUUACUGACACUAAACUACGAAAGCGUGGGGAGCAAACAGG
rnacentral:rRNA from 1 species